AGAGUUUGAUCAUGGCUCAGAACGAACGCUGGCGGCAGGCCUAACACAUGCAAGUCGAGCGCGCCCUUCGGGGCGAGCGGCGCACGGGUGAGUAGCGCGUGGGAACCUGUCCCGGAGUGGGGAAUAACCUCGGGAAACCGAGGCUAAUGCCCCAUGUCCCCUGCGGGGGAAAGAUUUAUCGCUCCGGGAGGGGCCCGCGUCGGAUUAGGUUGUUGGCGGGGUAACGGCCCACCAAGCCUGCGAUCCGUAGCUGGUCUGAGAGGACGACCAGCCACACUGGGACUGAGACACGGCCCAGACUCCUACGGGAGGCAGCAGUGAGGAAUCUUGGACAAUGGGCGCAAGCCUGAUCCAGCCAUGCCGCGUGAGUGAAGAAGGCCUUAGGGUUGUAAAGCUCUUCAGCGGNGAAG
rnacentral:rRNA from 1 species